AUUGAACGCUGGCGGCAGGCCUAACACAUGCAAGUCGAGCGAGCGGCGGACGGGUGAGUAAUGUCUGGGAAACUGCCUGAUGGCGGGGGAUAACUACUGGAAACGGUAGCUAAUACCGCAUCCACUCAGAUGUGCCCAGAUGGGAUUAGCUGGUAGUGGGGGUAACGGCUCACCUAGGCGACGAUCACUAGCUGGUCUGAAAGGAUGACCAGCCACACUGGAACUGCGACACGGUCCAGACUCCUACGGGAUGCAGCAGUGGGGAAUAUUGCACAAUGGGCGCAAGCCUGAUGCAGCCAUGCCGCGUGUGUGAAGAAGGCCUUCGGGUUGUAAAGCACUUUCAGCGGGGAGGCGUUACCCGCAGAAGAAGCACCGGCUAACUCCGUGCCAGCAGCCGCGGUAAUAC
rnacentral:rRNA from 1 species